GCUGGGUGUGGUGAUGCAUGCCUGUAAUUCCAAGCAGCUUGGGAGGCUGAGGCAGGAGGAGCUGAAGUUCAAAUCCAGCCUCAG
rnacentral:sRNA from 1 species